rnacentral:lncRNA from 1 species
UAGAAUGGCUAAAGUGAACAUGGAGAGAAGCCACAAAUCAUUCUUGAGAAGGCUAGCCCUAAUCGAAGGAAUUGGAAUUGACUGAAGUUACAGGACUGAAAUAAUAUCAUCCUGGGUUUAAUAGGUGGAUACAAACAACGCUUUUUCAAUUCUCCGUGGAAAGAUCAAGUAAACAUUACUUCCUGGGUAAGUUAUAGCCUUGACUCCAGGAAGGGUGGUGCAGAGAAUCUUGUAACAGGGGGAAACGUGGUGUGAUAUCUUAGAAAAUAAAGAAGGGGGUGCCUGGCUGGCUCAGUCGGUGGAGCAUGGGAGUCUUACUCUUGGGGUUGUGAGUUUGAGCCCAAAGUUGGUAUAGAGAUUACUUAAAAUUUUU